rnacentral:rRNA from 1 species
UACGUAGGGGGCAAGCGUUGUCCGGAAUCAUUGGGCGUAAAGAGCGCGUAGGCGGCCCGGUAAGUCCGCUGUGAAAGUCAAAGGCUUAACCUUUGAAUGUCAGCGGAUACUGCCGGGCUAGAGUCCGGAAGAGGCGAGUGGAAUUCCUGGUGUAGCGGUGGAAUGCGCAGAUAUCAGGAGGAACACCGGUGGCGAAGGCGGGUCUCUGGGCCGUAACUGACGCUGGAGGAGCGAAAGCAUGGGGAGCGAACAGG